ensembl:miRNA
UGGCUCUUUUACUGGCGUCUCUCAGUGAUUUGUGUGUCUUUCAAACACUCUGAGAGACACCAGUAAAAGAGCUUAA